rnacentral:rRNA from 1 species
ACUCCUACGGGAGGCAGCAGUGGGGAAUAUUGCACAAUGGGGGAAACCCUGAUGCAGCCAUGCCGCGUGUGUGAAGAAGGCCUUGGGUUGUAAAGCACUUUCAGUAGGGAGGAAGGUAGUGUAGUUAACACCUGCAUUAUUUGACGUUACCUACAGAAGAAGCACCGGCUAACUCCGUGCCAGCAGCCGCGGUAAUACGGAGGGUGCGAGCGUUAAUCGGAAUUACUGGGCGUAAAGCGCAUGCAGGCGGCCUGUUAAGUCAGAUGUGAAAGCCCGGGGCUUAACCUCGGAAUUGCAUUUGAAACUGGCAGGCUAGAGUCUUGUAGAGGGGUUAGAAUUUCGAGGUGUAGCGGUGAAAUGCGUAGAGAUCUGAAGGAAUACCAGUGGCGAAGGCGGCCCCUGGACAAAGACUGACGCUCAGAUGCGAAAGCGUGGGAGCAAACAGGAUUAGAUACCCCGUGGUAGCACAGAG